AGAGUUUGACCUGGCUCAGGAUGAACGCUGGCGGCGUGCUUAACACAUGCAAGUCGAACGAUGAUGCCAGCUUGCUGGUGGAUUAGUGGCGAACGGGUGAGUAACACGUGAGUAACCUGCCCUUGACUCUGGGAUAAGCCUGGGAAACUGGGUCUAAUACCGGAUAUGACCUUCCAUCGCAUGGUGGUUGGUGGAAAGCUUUUGUGGUUUUGGAUGGACUCGCGGCCUAUCAGCUUGUUGGUGGGGUAAUGGCCUACCAAGGCGACGACGGGUAGCCGGCCUGAGAGGGUGACCGGCCACACUGGGACUGAGACACGGCCCAGACUCCUACGGGAGGCAGCAGUGGGGAAUAUUGCACAAUGGGCGCAAGCCUGAUGCAGCGACGCCGCGUGAGGGAUGACGGCCUUCGGGUUGUAAACCUCUUUCAGUAGGGAAGAAGCGUAAGUGACGGUACCUGCAGAAGAAGCGCCGGCUAACUACGUGCCAGCAGCCGCGGUAAUACGUAGGGCGCAAGCGUUAUCCGGAAUUAUUGGGCGUAAAGAGCUCGUAGGCGGUUUGUCGCGUCUGCCGUGAAAGUCCGGGGCUCAACUCCGGAUCUGCGGUGGGUACGGGCAGACUAGAGUGAUGUAGGGGAGACUGGAAUUCCUGGUGUAGCGG
rnacentral:rRNA from 1 species